rnacentral:rRNA from 1 species
AAUAGCGCGGUGGUCCCACCUGACCCCAUGCCGAACUCAGAAGUGAAACGCCGUAGCGCCGAUGGUAGUGUGGGGUCUCCCCAUGCGAGAGUAGGACACUGCCAGGC